rnacentral:rRNA from 1 species
UACAGAGGGUGCGAGCGUUGUCCGGAAUCACUGGGCGUAAAGGGCGCGUAGGUGGCGACCCAAGUCAAUGGUGAAAGCUCGAUGCUCAACAUCGAGUCGGCCACUGAUACUGGGUUGCUCGAGCACUGUAGAGGCAGAUGGAAUUCCGGGUGUAGCGGUGGAAUGCGUAGAGAUCCGGAAGAACACCGGUGGCGAAGGCGGGUCCCUGGGCAAUUCCUGACGCUGAGGCGCGAAAGCGUGGGGAGCAAACGGG